AGCCGUGAGCCCGAGGUGCGCUCCGAGCGGACGGAACCAAGCGCCCCGGAGAAGUGGGGAGGGCCCGCCCGGGGCCCCCGGCGCCCCCCAGCCCGGCGGCCUGCCCCGGGAAACCGCCCCUGUGUUGUGGAGAAAAGAGCACACUCUUCACUCGGGGCCUGAACGGAGGCUUGCCAGAGCCCGGGGGCGUGGGGAGAGCGGCGCGCCGCGACUGCUGCCUCCGUCCGGGAGGCCCCGGGUGCCUGUCUGCCGGCUUGACAUUUUCCACCGUACCGCGGCCGACUUGGAGCCGAGUGGCACGGCCCAGCCUUGAAGUUCUGUAGGUGGGGCGGGCUCUAAUUUGCUUAUAUCUAAUGAUUUCGGGAGCCUCGCUUUAAAAUGGCGGCAUUCAAUAUACACCCCUGUUAAAGGCUAACCCGACCCCGGGCCACCUCGCGCAGCGCUGCUUUUGCUUCUGCUGCUACCAGACGGCAUGUGCCGCCGUCGCCGCCGCUGUCCCCGCCGCUGCCCCUGAGAGCAGGGCUCCUUAGCCUCUGGGUUCGUGCUAGCAGCGUAAGAUUCCUGAAGAGUGCCUCUCCUGAAAACUCUGCUACUUGGAUUCUACUCUAGAACGUUAGCUUCAUUUUUAACUGCAGCAGUAGUAUUGUCCUAGAGAGUGUGCACUUGACCUUCACUUCAAUUUUCGAUAUGGCAACUGUCACGGUCACCUUGAUUCGUGAUUCCAAGUGGUUGGUUUUAGAAGUCUGUAGAGAAUUCCUGAGAGGAACCUGCCCUCGAGCUGAUGAGGACUGCAAGUUUGCCCAUCCGCCAAGAGUCUGCCAGGUGGAAAAUGGUUGCGUGGUGUCCUGUUUUGAUUCUUUAAAAGGUCGGUGUGCUAGAAAGAAGUGCAAGUACUUUCAUCCCCCUCCACAUUUAAAAAAGCAGCUGGAAAUUAAUGGACAGAACAGUCUGAUUCAACGGAGUACAGCCGCAGCCAUGUUUGCCCAGCAGUUGCAGUAUAUGCUCCAAAAUGCUCAGAUGCCAUCACUUAACACACAGAAUUCUUUUCCUGUGACUCCAUCACUUGCCGCUAAUCCUGCCAUGGCUUUCAAUCCUUACUUACCUCAUCCUGGGAUGGGUCUGGUUCCUGCUGAACUUCCACCAAAUGCACCUGUUCUGAGUUCUGGAAACCUGCCUCUCCCAUUGCCAGGAGCUGCUGGUCCAAAACUGAUGCGUUCAGAUAAACUAGAGGUCUGCCGCGAAUUUCAGCGUGGAAAUUGUACCCGUGGUGAGUACGACUGCCGCUAUGCUCACCCCAUGGAUGUUUCCAUGAUUGAUGUGAGUGACAACACUGUGAGGAUCUGCAUGGAUUACAUCAGAGGUCGAUGCUUCCGGGAGAGAUGCAAGUACUUUCAUCCUCCUGCUUACCUGCAAGCCAAACUCAAAGCAUCUCAUCACCAUGUGAACUAUUCAGUUGCCAACACCGUGGCCCUACAGCCUGGUGCGCUUCAACUGAUACCAAAGGAAUCAGCACUUGAAAACACCAGUGGGGUCCCCCCGGUCUUUAACCCCAGUGUUUUCCACUGCCAUCAGCCUUUGACUAACCUGCAGCAUCCGCAGCCAGCGUAUAUCCCCACAGAUAACCCCAUUAUCAAUAGAUGAACUGAAUAGGAGCAUGUUUGUUUCACAGAUGUAGAAGUUACCAGUAGAACACCCAUAACUACUUAAGAGUCAGCUAUACAAUAACAGCCUGAACAUCUGACCAGCAUUUUCCAUUGAUAACAAAUGUAAGCAUUCAUUCUUCCAACUUCAACCUUAUCACCAACAUAUUUUCCCAACUUAACCGUGUUCCUCUGUCAUCAUUUGUGAAUCUAUAAGCCAAAGAAUAUAUUUUCAUAAGGUCAAUAGAAAGGUUUUAAGUCAGGAAGAAUCAUCUAUAAGAUAGUAAGAAUAAACCUAGAAGCAUCACAAAAAAUAAGCAAUUAAUUGAUUAUGUUGUGCAUGCUGAAAGCAACGGGGUCAUACUCUUUAGAGCUUAAACAUAGUGGCUGUGUUUAAGUAAGUAGAAUUAGAGAACGAGGUAUAGCAGAGUGUGAAUAACUUGAUGCCAAAAAAGGAGCUCUUUUAUUAAGCCCAGGAAAGAGCUUUGACUAAUUCAUACCAUUUCUAGCCCCUUCACUUGUCCUUGCCUGGGAGGGAACCACCAAUUAAUACACCAAAGCAGGAUUAUUCCAGAGAAAUAUUAUCUUGAAAUAGAACCCAUCCUCAGUUACAGUAUACCUAAGGGGAAAAAUGUAUUGCUGUGAAAUAAGUCCCACUUAUUUGCAGUUAUUCCAAAAAUCCUCACCAGUCAUUUUCUACAUCAUAUUAUUUAAUUUAAAAAAUACCUCUGUAACAAGACCAAAAAAGUAACCCAACUUUAAGCAGUGCUCUUUUCUCACAAAACACACAAAGAUUUUUCUGUCAUAGAACUGCGUGGUUCCGUACAGAUGCUAUUUGUUAAUGACAGAAACCAAAUUAUUUUGUUGCUGUCUUGUGUGUCUAGCAGUUGAGAGAUGAUAGACCAUCCUAUCAUUGAAUUUUGGGGUUGCCCUUUUCAAAAUAAAUGUCUAUUAUCACUGUUGCUGCUUUAAUUAUUAGAAAAUGAACUAUUUGUUAUCAAGCCCCAAAAUAAAAUAAUUUAAGAUUAAAAGAUGUUCCUAAAUGUACCCUUUUUUUAUAAGGGCUAAUGUUUUUGCAUUCAUAUAAUAAAAAUUUGGUGUAGUGUAAAAAAUAGAAGCACAUAUUUUGGGCAGAAAAUGCCAGUUAAAAAAUACCCACAGAUAAUAUUAUUAGCCCUGUACAAUUAUAGAUUUAAAUAAUGGCCACAAUAUUUCAUAAAUAUCAAUUGUUCCUAUAAUAUUGUGCCUCCAAAAUUCAAUAGCCCAUUCCCUCAACUGCUAUAAAUAUGGCAGAUACUUUGAUGUUUUUGUUGUUUCUUUUCCAAGUUGUAGGGCUGUUCUGCUUAUUUGGGUUUAGAAGUGCAUUAUGUAGUUCAUUUUAGUAUGCUAUCUCUAUGGUGUUCAUUUUUGGUUCUUUUAAUAAAACCUGUAAAUUUC